rnacentral:rRNA from 1 species
UUGGGACUGUACGAAACCUAAAGGCGCAAUGAAAGUGAAAGUCCGCCUAGCUCGGACCGAGGGAGGAUGGGUCGGCUCCCGAGCCGACCCCGCACUCCCGGGGCGUCUCGUUCUCAUCGCGAGAAGAGGCGCACCCAGAGCGUACACGCUGGGACCCGAAAGAUGGUGAACUAUGCCUGGUCAGGACGAAGUCAGGGGAAACCCUGAUGGAGGUCCGUAGCGAUUCUGACGUGCAAAUCGAUCGUCGGAACUGGGUAUAGGGGCGAAAGACUAAUCGAACCUUCUAGUAGCUGGUUCCCUCCGAAGUUUCCCUCAGGAUAGCUGGCGCUCGCUUUCGCGAGUCUCAUUCGGUAAAGCGAAUGAUUAGAGGCAUUGGGGUCGAAACGGCCUCAACCUAUUCUCAAACUUUAAAUGGGUGAGAUCUCCGGCUUGCUUGAAGCUUGAAGCCGCGAGAUAAUCGGGAUCGAAGAGUGCCAAGUGGGCCACUUUUGGUAAGCAGAACUGGCGCUGUGGGAUGAACCAAACGCAGAGUUAAAGCGCCUAAAUCGACGCUUAUGGGAUACCAUGAAAGGCGUUGGCAACUUAAAACAGCAGGACGGUGGCCAUGGAAGUCGGA